rnacentral:rRNA from 1 species
UGGGGAAUCUUGCGCAAUGGGCGAAAGCCUGACGCAGCGACGCCGCGUGAGUGAUGAAGGCCUUCGGGUUGUAAAGCUCUGUGGAGAGGGACGAAUAAGUAGAAGCGAAUACCUUCUAUGAUGACGGUACCUCCUUAGCAAGCACCGGCUAACUCUGUGCCAGCAGCCGCGGUAAGACAGAGGGUGCAAACGUUGUUCGGAAUUACUGGGCGUAAAGCGUGUGUAGGCGGCUAAGUAAGUCAGAUGUGAAAGCCCCGGGCUCAACCCGGGAAGUGCAUUUGAUACUGCUUAGCUUGAGUAUCGGAGAGGUUGGUGGAAUUCUUGGUGUAGAGGUGAAAUUCGUAGAUAUCAAGAGGAACACCGGUGGCGAAGGCGGCCAACUGGACGAAUACUGACGCUGAGACACGAAAGCGUGGGGAGCAAACAGG